AUCUAGUAUAGACUGAACAGGCUGUGUCCCACUCUGGGAAGGUGAUAUAUCUAGUAUAGACUGAACAGGCUGUAUCCCACUCUGGGACUAUAGUGUAAUAAUUGUACUGUGAAAUAUUGUCCAUAACCAUAUUGUAUUUUUAGCUGUUUGAAGCUGGUGUACAAAAGUAAAAGACACAAAAAUCAAAUUCAAGACCGGGUAGCAUAGAAAAUAACAGAUCUAUAACUUAUAAUUCUAUGUGUAUUUGGUCAGGUCGCCCAAAAAGUUACAUAUUGCAGCUUAAAGCACUCAAUGGAUGAUGUAGUGCACAAGAAGCAGAAUGGAUGACGUAGUGCACAAAAAAAAACAGAAUGGAUGACGUAGUGCACAAAAAAACAGAAUGGAUGACGUAGUGCACAAAAAACAAAA